UUGUGUGUGUGGCUCUUGGGGGCUUUUCCCCGAGGAGGGAGAAGGGCAGCCCUUCUCCCUCCUCGGGGAAAAGCCCCCAAGAGCCGCACACACGC
rnacentral:miRNA from 1 species